rnacentral:rRNA from 1 species
CGGAUUGCAGGCUGCAACUCGCCUGCAUGAAGUCGGAAUUGCUAGUAAUCGCGGAUCAGCAUGCCGCGGUGAAUACGUUCCCGGGUCUUGUACACACCGCCCGUCACACCAUGGGAGCUGGUAACACCCGAAGUCAGUAGUCUAACCGCAAGGAGGACGCUGCCGAAGGUGGGAUUAGCGACUGGGGUGAAGUCGUAACAAGGUAUC